CUGUUAUUGUUUGCCAUUGUAGCGGUGGGUACGUUCACUGUGAAAAAAUUAGAGUGCUCAGAGCGAGCCCCACCGGCUUGCAUACGAAAAGCA